rnacentral:lncRNA from 1 species
UUUUUUUUUUUUUUUUUUUGGGAGGGGGAGACAACAGGGUUUCUCUGUAUAGCCCUGGCUGUCCUGGAACUCACUCUGUAGACCAGGCUGGCCUCGAACUCAGAAAUCCGCCUGCCCCUGCCUCCCAAGUGCUGGGAUUAAAGGCGUGCGCCACCACGCCCGCCCCAUCUCAAUAUUUUUAAAUGCGUUAUAUAAAAUGCACAUAGUUACAGGAAAAAAAAUAUUUCGAUGUAUAAGUUGCUGUAAAAUGCCUAGUCCUGGCCUUAUUUCUGUAAUUGAGACAAAGUCUCACUGUAUCUCUGACUGACCCAAAACUCGAGAUCCACCUGCCUUUGCCUCUUGAGUGCUAAGAUUAAAAGUGUGUGGAAGAUUAAAAUUAUCAUUUAGUGUUGUAUGAAAAUGAUAUUCUCUGAGUUAAUAUUUUUCUUCUCUUUUUAACCAAAUGGGCAGUUAAAAAUCCAGAUUUUGUACAGGGUUGUACAACUAUUUAGGAUUUCAAAUGUUGCUGUGAUGAAUGUAUGGGGUUUUAUGUAAAGUACGUGUUUUAACAACAAAUUGAAAAGUUAAAAUGUUGCUGGUUAAGUCAACGAUGUGAUAGUUGGUUGUUACCUAAAAUCACUCAGCUCUCCUUUAAAAAGUUAACGCUUCACAUGGAUGAAGGGCUAGAGAGGUGGCUCAGAGCUUAAGAGCACUUGCUCUUUUUCAGAGGACCUGGAUGUGGUUCCAAGCAUGGCAGCUCACAACAGUUUCAGGGUAUACAACACCUGCUCUCCACAGGCACCACACACUCAUGUGGUACACACACCUGUGUGUGUGUUUGUGUAUGUGUGUGCAUGCAAAGUGUUUAUGCACAUAUUAAUGGAAUUUGUAUAAGUGCCUAUCACUAAGGAAAUUAUGUUUAAUCUAUUGUCAUAUUCUAACACUUUUUAAAGGAAGGCCUUUAUUUAAAGGAAGGUUUUUAUUAUUUAUUCAUGUGAAUGUUUGUGUAUAUAUGUGUGGGUGCCAGAGGAGGCCAGACAAAGGCAUCCGAUCCCCUGUGGCUGGACUUACAGGUCAGGUUGUGAGCCACCGUGUGUGUGUGUGUGUGUGUGUGUGUGUGUGUGUGUGUGUGUGUGGUGUGUGUGUGUGUGCGCGCGCUGGGAAUUGAACCCGGAUCUUCUGGAAGAAUAGCAACUGCUCUUGCCUCCUGAGCCACUUCUCUGACCUCAUAGUCUUACUUUUUGUCUACCUACUAUCUUGACUAGUGACGAUGGUUCCUCUUCUCUUGCUGCAGAGUUUUAUUAAAAAAUAAUGAAUCUUUAUACAAUGUUUUGAUCAUGUUUUUCCCCUCUUCUGACUCCUUGAAGAUUCUCCCUACUUUCCUGCCCACACUACAUGUCUUUCCUCUUUCAAAAACUCCUACUAAAAUGAAAAUCAAAACAAGCAGAAGACUGACCUAUAAAACAAACAGACAAAAAUGCCCAAAAAAAGCACAACAAAACAAAAAUUCGUGAAAAUUCCACUGACUUUGUUUUUGUGUUGGCCACUUAUUCCUGGGUGUGGGGCCUGCCCUGGAGUGAGAGAGAGAGAGAGAGAGAGAGAGUGUGUGUGUGUGUGUGUGUGUGUGUGUGUGUGUGUGUUCUCCAUCCGUCCUUGACAUUCAUUUGGAGAAAAAGGAUUUUCCCAUUGCCGACUGGUAUCGAUUGCAGAUAGCUUCUUGGUUAGUAGUAAGAGCCAGUGUCUGCUUCUCCAUCUUAGUGCUGGGGCACCCUGUCUAGCUUGAACCUGUGCAGGCCUAGUACUCGCUGCCACAGUCUUUGUGGGUUCAUAUGUGCGUCGAUCCUGCCGAAGACACUCUUCACCUCUGGCUCUUACAGUUUUUCUGCCUCUUCCACAUAGAUCCCUGAGCCCUUAAUGAAGGAAGGAUUUAAUGAAGAAAUCCCAUCCAGGAUUCUGCAGAUUGUCCAGUUGUGGGUCUCUGUUAAUUCUCUGAUAUGGGUUGAGUGAGGUACUAAUCUUGAUAGCAUGCAGCGUACCUUCCUGUACCCUGAUGCUGGUCAGUGCACCUGCUGGACUUUGUGUUCAGUGACUUCCAAGUGCUGUCUUCAGCAAUAGAGCAAUCAGGUGUGGAGAGCAACCAAGGAGAGCCUUGGCAAUAGCCUGCGAUAUUUGGAGUGGGGGUUGGGUGUCUUUAGGAUCCCUUUGGCCAGUGGCUCAACAAGAUGUAACCCAUUCCUGUCACUGGAGGUUUUAUUUGUUGAAGUAAGAUCUAUUUUAGGCAUUGUCUCCCUAUUUUAUUCCUCUUCCCUUUGGAGGGAAGGGGUUUCAAGUCCCUGGCUGUUCUGGAAUUUUCUUUGUAGCCCAGCCAGGCCUCAACUUAGAGAUCUGCCUGUUUCUGCCUUCUGUGUUCUGGGAUUAAAGCUAUAUGCUACCACUGGAGAGGUGGCUCAGUGGUUAAGAGCACUGACUGCUCUUCCAGAGAUCCUGAGUUCAAUUCCCAGCAACCACAUGGUGUCUCACAACCAUCAGUAAUGGAAUCUGAUGCCCUCUUCUGGUGUGUCUGAAGACAACUAUAGUGUACUCACAUAAAAUAAAUAAUUCUUUUUUAAGAAAGGUAUAUGCUACCACUGUCCAGUCCCUUAGUUUUUUAUAUAUAUAUACUAAAUUCCAUACUACAUAUCUUUCUGCUUUUUAAAAUACUAAUAAAAUGGAAUUGAGUCUAGGGUACUUGUUGAGUAGGCAAGUGGUCUACCACUAAGUUCUGAUUUAUUCUGAAACAGGGUAUGUGAUACCUCAGUCUGGCCUUGAACUCACUCUAGCCUAGGCAGGCCUUAAACUUGACAUUUUUUAGUUUCUGGAAUUACAGGCCUGUAAACCAGGCCUGACUUAGUUGUUUAGCUCUGGGGAUAAAAACCAAAACCCUGAAAAACUACAUGGUGUACAAGGAAAAGAUACUGCUGCCAUUGUUGGGUGGAAGUUCUGA